rnacentral:snRNA from 1 species
UAGACAAAUUGUUAUAUUCGAU